GUUGGAGACAGCUGCUCCAAGGGACAUUAUUUUUAUGAACAUCAAAUGUAAGAAGACAAAGAGCUGCUGACAGCCCCCUUUCAUUUCGGCCACAUUACCUGGGGAGUGUCUGCCUCUCGGUGUUUGCAAGGAUGUAAUUGUUACUGAUCAAGACAGAGCAAUGAGUCUGCUGCCUCACAUGCCGAGUGAAGAAAAUGCUAGAUACCCUUCUGGAGCUUGUAACUCCCAGCACCCCAGAGGUAGAAGGACCAACCAGUGUCUCCCUCCAUCUCUUGCAGGCUCCACAUCAAAGCUGAAGCAUCAUGUCUGCCUCUUGUUAACUGCUUGUGUGACUAAGGAAUGCUGAUACCUCCGAAUUAUUUUCAGGGGUCCAUAGAUGUUUUUACAUGAGCAAGAAUUCUCAG